rnacentral:miRNA from 1 species
UGCACUUUUUGGUAAGAAGAUGUUAAUAAAAGUUGUUCGUCUUUAUGAGGGCUACAACUUUGCUUAAUAUCCUUUUAACAAAUUAUGCGUAUUUAAGGAGAUAGCGCAGCGCAUGCGCAGAACGUAUCUCCUUACCUUUGCACUUUUUGGUAAGAAGAUGUUAACAAAAGGUUUUUGUCAUGAUGAGGGCUACAACUUUGCUUAAUAUCCUUUUAACAAAUUAUGCG